rnacentral:rRNA from 1 species
GAUGAACGCUGGCGGCGUGCCUAAUACAUGCAAGUCGAGCGAACGGAUGAGAAGCUUGCUUCUCUGAUGUUAGCGGCGGACGGGUGAGUAACACGUGGAUAACCUACCUAUAAGACUGGGAUAACUUCGGGAAACCGGAGCUAAUACCGGAUAAUAUUUUGAACCGCAUGGUUCAAAAGUGAAAGACGGUCUUGCUGUCACUUAUAGAUGGAUCCGCGCUGCAUUAGCUAGUUGGUAAGGUAACGGCUUACCAAGGCAACGAUGCAUAGCCGACCUGAGAGGGUGAUCGGCCACACUGGAACUGAGACACGGUCCAGACUCCUACGGGAGGCAGCAGUAGGGAAUCUUCCGCAAUGGGCGAAAGCCUGACGGAGCAACGCCGCGUGAGUGGUGAAGGUCUUCGGAUCGUAAAACUCUGUUAUUAGGGAAGAACAUAUGUGUAAGUAACUGUGCACAUCUUGACGGUACCUAAUCAGAAAGCCACGGCUAACUACGUG